rnacentral:rRNA from 1 species
UACAGGGGGGGCAAGCGUUGUUCGGAAUUACUGGGCGUAAAGGGCUCGUAGGCGGCCAACUAAGUCACACGUGAAAUCCCCAGGCUUAACCUGGGAACUGCGUGUGAUACUGGAUGGCUUGAAUCCGGGAGAGGGAUGCAGAAUUCCAGGUGUAGCGGUGAAAUGCGUAGAUAUCAAGAGGAACACCUGAGGUGAAGACGGGUUGCUGGGCUGACACUGACGCUGAUGCGCGAAAGCCAGGGGAGCAAACGGG